AAGUUCGAUGUAUCGAAUUCAUUUGGCGGAUCUUACUUGAUCAGGCUUGCUGCCGGACUUUGAUCUGGUGGCGAGUGGCGAACGGGUGAGUAAUGUAUCGGAACGUGCCUAGUAGCGGGGGAUAACUACGCGAAAAGCGUAGCUAAUACCGCAUCCGCUGCCUCAAGGAAAGCGGGGAUUCUUCGAACUCACCUGUAAAAGCAACUGAUAUCGGAUUAGCUGGUUAAUGACAGAAUAACGGCUCACCAAGGCGACGAUAGCUGGUUUUGAGAGGACGACCAGCCACACUGGGACUGAAGACACGGCCCAGACUCCUACGGGAGGCAGCAGUGGGGAAUUUUGGACAAUGGGGGAAACCCUGAUCCAGCCAUCCCGCGUGUGCGAUGAAGGCCUUCGGGUUGUAAAGCACUUUUGGCAGGAAAAGCGGCACGGGAUAAUACCCCGUGCAACUGACGAACACCUGCAGAAUAAGCACCGGCUAACGCUACGUAUGGCAGCCGCGGUAAUAUACGUAGGGUGCAAGCGUUAAUCGGAAUUACUGGGCGUAAAGCGUGCGCAGGCGGUUCGGAAAGAAAGAUGUAAAUCCAGAGCUUACUUUGGAACUGCAUUUUUUUUAACUACCGAGCUAGAGUGUGUCAGAGGGAGGUGGAAUUCCGCGAUGUAGCAGUGAAAUGCGUAGAUAUGCCGGAGGAACACCGAUGGCGGCGCAACCUCCUGGGAUAACGGCGCUCUGUGCACGAAAGCGUGGGGAGCAAACAGGAUUAGAUACCCUGGUAGUCCACGCCCUAAACGAUGUCAACUAGCUGUUGGGGCCUUCGGGAGCGCCGUAGCCUGAAUGCCGUGAAGUUGACCGCCUGGGAAGUACAGAUACUAAGACAAACUCAAAGGAAUUGACGGGGACCCGCACAACGGUGGAUGAUGUGGAUUAAUUCGAUGCAACGCGAAAAACCUUACCUACCCUUGACAUGUCUGGAAUCCCGAAGAGACUGGAGUACUCUACGAGAACCGGAACACAGGUGCUGCAUGGCUGUCGUCAACUCGUGUCGUGAGAUGUUGGGUUGAUCCCGCAACGACGCAACCUUGUGUGGAGUGCCGAAGGGCACUCAAGCAGUUAUGGUAAUCGACUGGGAGGAAGGUGGGGAUAGCGUCCAAGUCCUCAUGGCCCUUAUGGGUAGGGCUUCACACGUCAUACAAUGUUCAGGACGAGAUCUGCUCGCUCACGAGGGAGCCAAUCCAAAGCACCAAAUCGUCGUCCGGAUCACCGUCAACUCGUUUCCGUGAAGUCGAUCUUCAAUAAUCUGGAUCGCGUAUCGCGAUGGUACGUUCCGGUCUUAUUACUGUCACACCAUGGAAUUAGUUUUACCGAUGGUCAGCUAACUUUCUUCAGGAGGGCGAUUACCACGGUAGGAUUCAUGACUGGGGUGAAGUCGUAACUAAGGUAACUCUGUUGCUACCCCGAUGUCCAAGAUGGC
rnacentral:rRNA from 1 species